rnacentral:rRNA from 1 species
GAUGAACGCUGGCGGCGUGCCUAAUACAUGCAAGUCGAGCGAAUGGAUUAAGAGCUUGCUCUUAUGAAGUUAGCGGCGGACGGGUGAGUAACACGUGGGUAACCUGCCCAUAAGACUGGGAUAACUCCGGGAAACCGGGGCUAAUACCGGAUAACAUUUUGAACCGCAUGGUUCGAAAUUGAAAGGCGGCUUCGGCUGUCACUUAUGGAUGGACCCGCGUCGCAUUAGCUAGUUGGUGAGGUAACGCCUCACCAAGGCAACGAUGCGUAGCCGACCUGAGGGGGUGAGCGGCCACCCUGGGACUGGGACACGGCCCAGACUCCUCCGGGAGGCAGAAGUAGGGAAUCUUCCGCAAGGGACGAAAGUCUGACGGAGCAACGCCGCGUGAGUGAUGAAGGCUUUCGGGUCGUAAAACUCUGUUGUUAGGGAAGAACAAGUGCUAGUUGAAUAAGCUGGCACCUUGACGGUACCUAACCAGAAAGCCACGGCUAACUACGUGCCAGCAGCCGCCGUAA